rnacentral:lncRNA from 1 species
GAUUAUAGAGGAGACCAGACAUGUGCAGCACACUCAGAGUUGCUGUCUCUACAGAUGGAACUGUCAAGUUUCAAGAAAACAAGUUAGAGGCUGCCAUUAAUUCUCCAUUAUGCAAAGGUCUCCAGGACCCCCUCUCCUCACACCGGAUGCCACAGCAGGACCUGAAGGCGGCCCAGGCUGACCACCCCUCGGGGUGAUUCGAGGUGUUCUGUUUCCAUAUUCACCCAGUUGCCGGGCUUUGAAUGUGUGAGUUUUGGUGACCAUGAAGUUGAGGGAUGAAGAGGCUUGGGCACUGCCUAAAGCAGCAUGGUGGGGGCGCCAUGGAGGCUCCCUCGGCUGGGAAGCUCACUCUUGGUCUUGACUGCAGGUGUCUCCUGUCCCUGCCUCCACCCCUCUGGCCACCAGUGAUGCCCAACAAGGCCUGGCUGAUUUGUGAGGUCUGAGAGUCAUGGCUUUUAGCUCGGGUGACCAGAAGAAAGUGGA